UUUCGGAACUAUUUGCAAGGUGCUGCAUGGUUGUCGUCAGCUCGUGCCGUGAGGUGUCGGGUUAAGUCCCAUAACGAGCGCAACCCUUAUCGUUAGUUGCCAUCGGGUAAUGCCGGGGACUCUAGCGAAACUGCCGGUGUAAACCGCGAGGAAGGUGGGGAUGACGUCAAAUCAGCACGGCCCUUAUGUCCAGGGCUACACACGUGUUACAAUGGCCGGUACAGAGGGCAGCUACCUGGAGACAGGAUGCGAAUCUCGAAAGCCGGUCUCAGUUCGGAUCGGAGUCUGCAACCCGACUCCGUGAAGCUGGAUUCGCUAGUAAUCGCGCAUCAGCCAUGGCGCGGUGAAUACGUUCCCGGGCCUU
rnacentral:rRNA from 1 species